rnacentral:rRNA from 1 species
CAGCCGCCACGGUAAUACGUAGGUGGCAAGCGUUGUCCGGAAUUAUUGGGCGUAAAGGGCCCGCAGGCGGUUUCUUAAGUCUGAUGUGAAAGCCCCCGGCUCAACCGGGGAGGGUCAUUGGAAACUGGGAAACUUGAGUGCAGAAGAGGAGAGUGGAAUUCCACGUGUAGCGGUGAAAUGCGUAGAGAUGUGGAGGAACACCAGUGGCGAAGGCGACUCUCUGGUCUGUAACUGACGCUGAGGAGCGAAAGCGUGGGGAGCGAACAGGAUUAGAUACCCCGGUAGUCCCUGUCUCUUAUAC